CCAGUUUCUGCUGGAUGGCCAUGCGCAACAGGGAACUCAGAGUCUUCUUCUCAUCUUCAGCAGCUGCUAGCUGCCGCUGCAUCUCAUCCAGCUGGCUCACAUACUGAUCACACCUGGGGACAGAAAGGAAGAUGAUAAGAUGACUUUGUGACCCCUCAAGACUACACUCCCAGAAACGUCCACGACUGCUUCAGAACCUAACCUCUUCCUGUUGACCAGAACUGUCCUUCCAUCACAAAGCUCAACCUACUGUACCUGUAGCAACUGCUGCUGCAAUUUGUGAAUCUCCGCCAAGCUAAGCUCACUGAAGAGGUCUGCCACAAGACCAGGAGCAGGCCGGACGCCAUGGGGUGUGGAAGCCAUGCCCCCUAAGCUGCUGCCAUUGGCGAAGCCGCUGUCUUGCUCUUCACACUCCACGUGACUGUUGAGCUCCUCCAGGUUGGCUUGCAAGCUGGUUAGCGAGUCAUUACGCCCUCCUGCAUAGAUGGCAAGCUCCCGCCGCAGUUCCUGCUUCUGCUCCCGCUCUACCUGCAGAGCCUCUAGUGCCUCCUGAAGCUGGUGCUCCGCCAGGUCUCGGAGACGACCCACUUCCAGUAGCUGGGUCCCAGCCAACACCAGUUCUUCCUCUCGGCAGCUCAAUGCACGCUUGACACUUUCAAACUCCACCUUGGAAUGAAACAGGGAUGGUCAGUGCAAGCAAGUCACCUCUCCUCCCAGACCCAACUUCACGGAAUUCCACUGUAAGCUUCAAAAAUAACAUGGAGCAGACUACCUCAACCAUUAUGUGCCCUUUUUUCACCGAAUUAUUUACAACAACCUCUAAUAUCCUUUAAUUCCUGUGGCUGAAGCCUUACUCCACAUCCCUUUAUUUAAAAAAUGGUGAACAGACAUCUGUAGUAGCACCAGCUUUGUGGAAUUUGGGCCACAAUCCUGUUGGUGUACUUCAGUGUACACACAAGCAGCAGAAGAAAAAAGCUAUGGCAUGGCAGGACAGGCAAUUUUGCAAGGCAGCCUUCCCAGGACAUGCUGGCUCUGAGAACCCACCCAGAAGCCAAGCAGUGGAGCAACAGGCUUCUUCAAAACUCACAGCCUUUUCCUCUACUGACAUUGGCUUUUCCCUCCUUCCCUUCCCAGCUAUGGUGCUAACUUGUAAAAAAGUCCAAGUGCACACUGGACUGUUAUGUUAGCACAAUGCAAAAACAGGAUUAUGGCUGUGGUUGCCUCAGAAGAGCCACUGCCAGGCCUGUUUUUAGCACAAAAUAAGAUAUUUUAGCUCAGUGAUCUUUUAAUAAUCAAGACCAAAUCUGGAUUGCUGCAGCUGUAUUUAAGACUGAAAUAGACUGUUUUCUCUGGGGUUGUAUCUUUUUGGUUUGUAUGUUUUUAUUCUGUAAUGUACCCAGGCAAAAUAAAAUUAUAUGCCCAUGUAUGUAUCCCAACAUCCUAAUGGAAAGAUGUGGUAGUCAUGUAUUUACUGGCAAAAUAGGACUCGCAACAGACAAAGUAGGAUUACUGCACAUUUAGCAAACCAGGAUCCUAGAUAUGCAAGGUUAUCUUAGGUUACAGAAAUCCCCAAACAGAGAAACAACGGAUAAAGAGAACCAAGUAUAUUCUUUGUUUUCCAGAAGUCUCAUAAAUAUACAGACACAUACACAUUGACAGAGGAAAGGAGGGAAAGAAGGAGGGAGAAUAGCGAUGGCAAAAGAGAAUUUUUCUCCACUGGGCUAAUGAAAGGGGGAUUUGGAUUCAAAAUACACACUAUGAGAAUAUCAUCCCCACACUCUUGAGUCAACAUGCCCUAAUCCCUCUGAAGUUAGAAAGAGUCCUGAAGCACAUUUUCCAAAGAUUAGUGGGAAAGCACUUCCUCCAGACCUAAUUAACUGAACACAGUCAUAAUCACAGAGUUGGAAGAGACCACACAGGCCAUCCAAGAAUAUACAAUCAAAGCACUCCCGCAGAUAGCCAUCCAGCUUCUGUUUAUAACCUUGAAAGGAGGAGACUCCACCACACACUGAAGCAGCGCAUUCUAUAUAAAACAGCUCAGACGAUCAGGAAAUUCUUCCUAAUGUUUAGAUGCAACCUCUUUUAGAGUUUUCAAGGAGAAAGGAGACAUAGCCUCUGACAGCUGUGCUCUAACAGGGGGUAAAGAUGUACACAGAAAGGCAUAAUUCUUUCAGACUCAUUUCUCCUUGUUCCCCACAACUACAGCAUGAUCCAACAAAUACAUCUGACCAGGGUCAGACAUCUUCCACAUCAAGCCCAGUUAUUCCAAACCACCAAAGAAAUAUCAAGAAAUCAGGCAAAUACAUACAAAUACAGGCAAAGUCUCCCUUAUCUUAAAAUACUCCCAAACCAAAGCUUUUUAAAUGGGUGGCUGAGAUAGUGACAACUUUGCUUUCUGUUGGCUCAAUGUACGCAAACUUUGUUUUAUGCAAAAAAGUAUUAAAUUAUUGUACAAAAAUAACCUCAUGCUAUGUGAAUAAAUAAAACCAUGAUUUUUUUAUUUAGAUUUGGGUCCCAUCUCCAAGAUAUCCCAUUAUUCAGACAUAGCUAUGUUUGUCUGGAAUAUAAAUAUCCAAAAGGAUCUUGUAGCACCUUUGAGACUAACACAGAAAGAAGUUGUAGCAUGAGGUUUUCACAGACUUUGUCUACUUCCUCAAAUAUGCAAAUACAACUAUUAAUUUUUUUUUAAAAAAAUCCAAAGUCUGGUCCAAGCAUUUUGGAUAAGGGAGACGCAACCUUUACAUACAUACACACAAGCACAUACAUGCUAAGGGUCAGUGACAAGUGCACAAUGGGACUUGGAUUCAAAUACCUGACUGCCCCUGAGUGCUGAGACUUGCUUCUGCAGGGAAAUGUUCUCCUCCUCAAGUUCAGCACAGUCCUGUAGCUGGCGCAACUCCCGAGUUUUGGCUUGUUUCAUCUCCUCACGCAGCCGAACCUUCUCAGACUCCAGGGUCUGGCAUUCCUGGAAAGAGUGAGGAGGAAAAAUGGGAUCAGCACAUCAGACACAUGCUUUGACCACAAGAAUGAGGUGGACAAGGAAACACUUGGUACACAUUUCCUUGAAGAGGGACAAAUCCAGCCUCAACCAAGCCACUUUGGCUUUCCUAUUGUGUUUUAGUUUAUUAUGAAAAAACGAAAAGAAAAAAGGAGGAAAAAGAGAAAGCCACAGUGAAAAGGACUGCCCAUAAUUUCACCCUUACAUUGUUUAAGCUCUAAUGAAGAAAUUUACUGUGAUUAUCUUUGGUAUGAUAAAAUUAAAGUACAUGUUGAAUUUUAAAAAAAAUUGCAUUAGAAAGGCUCUCUCUCAAGUAUGGUAUAAGUAUAAACACAGCCUUUCUCCUAAGAUAGUAUUAGCUACCUCACCACAGGAAGCCAUUUUUUAAAAAGAAAGAAUGGGUUAAAAAUUGGAGAUGGUUGUUAUGUGACAAACUUUUGUAUUUUGAAUGAGAGAUGAAAUUUUAAAUCAAGAGAGAUGAUUCUUAAGGCAGGAAAAUAUCUUAGCUAGUUUGCUUAUAUACAAUGUAAGUACAGAUUUAAUUGAGACAAGACAAAUGCAGCUGUAAGAGGUGAGUGAAAAUGAAUUUUAUUUAGAGUUUUAAAGACAAUGAUCAUGUAAUUACAAAAAAGUAUAGAUAGCUUCUGAAACUAGAUAGAUUAGCCUGUAAAAGAGGACAUAAGAUGGGGCCAGAAUUUUGGGUGUGACAUCCUAUUGAUGGGGAAAAUGUGGUCAAAACAUAUAAAGUUUCCUUUAUGCAAUAAUUUAAAAGAAACCCUGUAUAUGGUCUCUAACCCAAAAUAGGGUUUCAAAAAUGACCCAGAAUGUUUUAAACCAAUGUUGGGAAUGUCAAGAUAAGGAGGGUUCCUUUUUUCAUAUGUGGUGGAUUUGUAAGGUGGCAGAAAGUUACUGGUCUAAGAUUUAUAUGUUAAUUCAAAAAAUUAUAAACAGACAUUUUGUAAUGUUACCCAAAAUGUUUCUGUUGGGCAUUAAGGACAAAGAAUUGGAUAAUAAACAUUAAUAGCUUCUUUGAUAUAUGUGGACACGUGAAAAUGGCAGCAAGAAUAUUGUUUGCUGAAACUUGGAAAUGGACUAAAGCAUCGACAAUGGAAGAAUGGACUGUUAAAGUUUCUGAGUUAGCCCAAAUGGCCAAAUUAAUGAGUGUUUUAAAGGAUAAGCCAACUGAAGACUCUUUGAAAGACUGGAAAAGUUUAUGGAUUUUUUGAGCAGUAAGAAAUCUAAUAAAGUACUAAUCUAUG